GAUGAACGCUGGCGGCGUGCCUAAUACAUGCAAGUCGAGCGAACAGACGAGGAGCUUGCUCCUCUGACGUUAGCGGCGGACGGGUGAGUAACACGUGGAUAACCUACCCAUAAGACUGGGAUAACUUCGGGAAACCGGAGCUAAUACCGGAUAAUAUAUUGAACCGCAUGGUUCAAUAGUGAAAGACGGUUUUGCUGUCCCUUAUAGAUGGAUCCGCGCCGCAUUAGCUAGUUGGUAAGGUAACGGCUUACCAAGGCAACGAUGCGUAGCCGACCUGAGAGGGUGAUCGGCCACACUGGAACUGAGACACGGUCCAGACUCCUACGGGAGGCAGCAGUAGGGAAUCUUCCGCAAUGGGCGAAAGCCUGACGGAGCAACGCCGCGUGAGUGAUGAAGGUCUUCGGAUCGUAAAACUCUUUUAUUAGGGAAGAACAAAUGUGUAAGUAACUAUGCACGUCUUGACGGUACCUAAUCAGAAAGCCACGGCUAACUACGUG
rnacentral:rRNA from 1 species